rnacentral:rRNA from 1 species
GACGAACGCUGGCGGCGUGCUUAACACAUGCAAGUCGAACGGUGACGAGGAGCUUGCUCCUCCGAUCAGUGGCGAACGGGUGAGUAACACGUGAGCAACCUGCCCCUCACUCUGGGAUAACAGUUGGAAACAGCUGCUAAUACCGGAUACGACACAGACAGGCAUCUGUACUGUGUGGAAAGUUUUUCGGUGAGGGAUGGGCUCGCGGCCUAUCAGUUUGUUGGUGGGGUAAUGGCCUACCAAGACGACGACGGGUAGCCGGCCUGAGAGGGCGACCGGCCAACACUGGGACUGAGACACGGCCCAGACUCCUACGGGAGGCAGCAGUGGGGAAUAUUGGACAAUGGGCGAAAGCCUGAUCCAGCAAUGCCGCGUGAGUGAUGAAGGCCCUAGGGUUGUAAAGCACUUUUGGCGGGAACGAAACGGCGCUUUCUAAUACAGAGUGCUAAUGACGGUACCCGCAGAAUAAGCACCGGCUAACUACGUGCCAGCAGCCG